AUCGAACGCUGGCGGCAGGCCUAACACAUGCAAGUCGAGCGGAUGAAGUGUGCUUUCUCCUGGUACCCGAGGCGGACGGGGGUGUAAUGCCGAGGAAUAUGCCUAGUUGAGCUGGAUAACGUCGGGAAAUAGGCGCUAAUACCGCAUACGACUUCAGCAUGAUAUUGGUGAUUCUUUGGACCUCACGCGAACAGUUCAAUCGAGCUCGGAUUAGAUGGUCGGGCGGUUAAAGACCUACUAAGGGGAGUAUCCGUAACUGGUCUGAGAGGAUGAUCAGCCACACUGGAACGGGAACACGCUCCAGACUCCUACGGGAGGCAGCAGUGGGGAAUAUUGGACAAUGAGCGAAAGCCGGAUCCAGCCAGGCCGCGUGUGUGAAGAAGGUCUUCGGAUUGUAAAGCACGUUGAGUUGGGAGGAAGGGCAGUAAGUUAAUACCUUGCUGUUUUGACGUUACCAACAGAAUAAGCACCGGCUAACUUCGUG
rnacentral:rRNA from 1 species